rnacentral:rRNA from 1 species
UACGUAGGGGGCAAGCGUUGUCCGGAAUCAUUGGGCGUAAAGAGCGCGUAGGCGGUCCGGUAAGUCCGCUGUGAAAGUCAAGGGCUCAACCCUUGAAUGCCGGUGGAUACUGCCGGGCUAGAGUCCGGAAGAGGCGGAGUGGAAUUCCUGGUGUAGCGGUGAAAUGCGCAGAUAUCAGGAGGAACACCAAUGGCGAAGGCAGCUCGCUGGGACGGUACUGACGCUGAGGCGCGAAAGCGUGGGGAGCAAACAGG